rnacentral:hammerhead_ribozyme from 1 species
AUCCGUUUGACGAGUUCGAAACAGGACGAAAUGCACAUCCUGGAU